rnacentral:rRNA from 1 species
UGGGGAAUAUUGCACAAUGGGCGAAAGCCUGAUGCAGCGACGCCGCGUGAGGGAUGACGGCCUUCGGGUUGUAAACCUCUUUCAGUAGGGACGAAGCGCAAGUGACGGUACCUGCAGAAGAAGCACCGGCUAACUACGUGCCAGCAGCCGCGGUAAUACGUAGGGUGCGAGCGUUGUCCGGAAUUACUGGGCGUAAAGAGCUCGUAGGCGGUUUGUCACGUCGUCUGUGAAAUCCUAGGGCUUAACCCUGGACGUGCAGGCGAUACGGGCUGACUUGAGUACUACAGGGGAGACUGGAAUUUCUGGUGUAGCGGUGGAAUGCACAGAUAUCAGGAAGAACAUCGAUGGCGAAGGCAGGUCUCUGGGUAGUAACUGACGCUGAGGAGCGAAAGCAUGGGUAGCGAACAGG